UACGAAGGGGGCUAGCGUUGCUCGGAAUCACUGGGCGUAAAGCGCACGUAGGCGGAUUGUUAAGUCAGGGGUGAAAUCCUGGAGCUCAACUCCAGAACUGCCUUUGAUACUGGCAAUCUCGAGUUCGGGAGAGGUGAGUGGAACUGCGAGUGUAGAGGUGAAAUUCGUAGAUAUUCGCAAGAACACCAGUGGCGAAGGCGGCUCACUGGCCCGAUACUGACGCUGAGGCACGAAAGCGUGGGGAGCAAACAGG
rnacentral:rRNA from 1 species